UACAAAUGUGACAAAUACUUUGAAUUGGGAAUGAAAGGAUCUGUCAAUUUCCAGGUUUUCUCAGUUUCUCAUCUUUCCAGUCUUAAAUUCAGUUCCCCACCUUUCUGUAGCAAUUUGCCAUUAUUAUUAUUAAGAAAAAUCCUCAUUAAAAUCAUUCAGCAUUUUAGUGUAGUUGUUUUCCUGAUAAACACGUUUUUGUAUGCAGCUUUGACAAACGUACACAUUUUUGCAAGAAAUUUCUUUUAAUAUAAUUCAUUUUGGUAUGUUAUUUUCACUAACAUCUUCAUUUCUUAUGUCCACUUUUGCCUAGCACAUAUAUUAUUGAAAACACUGGUUGGAAAACUGCAUUGCAAAAUUCAGAUAACUACGAAUUUUGAAGGAUGCCUGUGUUUCAAUUCUCAUUGUUUUUGGAAGAUAAUAAAUUUGCCUUUAAAGGAGAACUGAAUCAAAUCCUUUUUUUUUUUUUUUGCCCCAUCCCUAUUCUCGGUUAUAAUCUGUCAUAAUUUUGAAUUCUGAUUCCAUAGAAAAGUCACACCUGAGGGGAGCAGGAUGUAUGUAUUACAGCCAAGCAUAGAAGCUAUGAGAUGCGAGAACAAAGCAACACGAAGCAUCCGUUGCGUGCCAGUAAUCCACAGUAAAUAAUUGUGAGAAGAAACCCAGGAUGUGUGAAGCGUAUGAGAAAAGAAGGGAGACUUCACUCACCCCCUCCCCUUUUGCCCUGGGAGAAGCUGCUGAGCCCGUUAUUGAAAAUACCUGAUAUUCUUUGUCUCUCUCUCCUCCCAUUUGCCCCUUCAUCUGAUUUGGGUGACCUCUACUAUUUCCUCCGUCUUGUGCAAUAAAUAAUAGGAGACGUCUAAAGCUCAUCACAACAGCAAAUAAGGUGCUGUAUAACACAUCAUCCUCUCAAAAUUGCCACAGCAGGAAGGACUGGCAGCCCAUCCAUUACCUACAUUAUUUCAGGAACAAGCUUUCCCUAUUUGUCCUUGAACAUGGCAAGGCAGCAACUAAGGUAUGGAAUAAAGAGAGUGUUUUAAUGUA